UACAGAGGGGCGAGCGUUGUUCGGAAUUACUGGGCGUAAAGGGCGCGUAGGCGGCCUUCUAAGUCGAACGUGAAAUCCCCGGGCUCAACCCGGGAACUGCGUCCGAUACUGGAAGGCUUGAAUCCGGGAGAGGGAUGCGGAAGUUCCAGGUGUAGCGGUGAAAUGCGUAGAUAUCUGGAGGAACACCGGUGGCGAAGGCGGCAUCCUGGACCGGCAUUGACGCUGAGGCGCGAAAGCCAGGGGAGCAAAGCGGG
rnacentral:rRNA from 1 species